UACGUAGGGUGCGAGCGUUAAUCGGAAUUACUGGGCGUAAAGCGUGCGCAGGCGGUUCGUUGUGUCGGUGGUGAAAGCCCCGGGCUUAACCUGGGAAUGGCAGUGGAAACUGGCGGGCUUGAGUGUGGCAGAGGGGGGUGGAAUUCCGCGUGUAGCAGUGAAAUGCGUAGAGAUGCGGAGGAACACCGAUGGCGAAGGCAGCCCCCUGGGCUGACACUGACGCUGAGGCACGAAAGCGUGGGGAGCAAACAGG
rnacentral:rRNA from 1 species